rnacentral:tRNA from 11 species
GCCGGCGGCGGUGGCGCCCGCGGUCUUCGACCCCGUGGUGGCCCUGUU